GCCACCUUAGCUCAGUUGGUAGAGCAACGGUUUUGUAAACCGUGGGUCGUCAGUUCGAAUCUGACAGGUGGCU
rnacentral:tRNA from 1 species